rnacentral:rRNA from 1 species
GACGAACGCUGGCGGCGUGCUUAACACAUGCAAGUCGAACGAUGAUGCCCAGCUUGCUGGGUGGAUUAGUGGCGAACGGGUGAGUAACACGUGAGUAACCUGCCCCUGACUCUGGGAUAAGCGUUGGAAACGACGUCUAAUACUGGAUAUGAUCGCCGGCCGCAUGGUCUGGUGGUGGAAAGAUUUUUUGGUUGGGGAUGGACUCGCGGCCUAUCAGCUUGUUGGUGAGGUAAUGGCUCACCAAGGCGACGACGGGUAGCCGGCCUGAGAGGGUGACCGGCCACACUGGGACUGAGACACGGCCCAGACUCCUACGGGAGGCAGCAGUGGGGAAUAUUGCACAAUGGGCGAAAGCCUGAUGCAGCAACGCCGCGUGAGGGAUGACGGCCUUCGGGUUGUAAACCUCUUUUAGUAGGGAAGAAGCGAAAGUGACGGUACCUGCAGAAGAAGCACCGGCUAACUACGUGCCAGCCGCCGCCGUAA